GAAGUAAGCUGGGCAAUCGCCGGUGCAUGGCCGAAAGGCAGCACGGGAGGAAAGUCCGAGCUCCACAGGGCAGGGUGCCGGAUAACGUCCGGCGAGAGCGAUCUCAGGGAAAGUGCCACAGAAAUGAAGACCGCCGAUGGCCUGAUGCAGGCACAGGCAAGGAUGCAACGGUGCGGUAAGAGCGCACCAGCAGUCCGGAGACGGGCUGGCUAGGUAAACCCCACCUGGAGCAAGACCGGAUAGGAGUGCUGAUGUGGUGGCCCGCCACGCACUCGGGUUGGUCGCUUGAGCCGACUGGCAACAGUCGGCCUAGAUAGAUGAUUGCUGCUCCAACGUGCGAGGCCGCCACGUGCGUGCCGCUUGCAGCACAGGAGUACAGAACUCGGCUUACAGGCUUGCUUCUUCG
rnacentral:RNase_P_RNA from 1 species